rnacentral:ncRNA from 1 species
UAAAAAUUUUAUUUUAGUUUAAAAAUUAAAUGUUAUUUUUAAUUAUAUGUAAAAUUUAUUUAAGAAUAAUUUGCAGUAAUUAAAGUUAAAUAUUCAAGAAAUUGAGAUUUAUAAAUAAUAAUUAAUAUAAACUUAAUUUGUGCCAGCAGUUGCGGUUAUACAAAUUAUAUAAUUUAAUUUUUAUUAAUUAUAAUUAAUUGUUAUUUAAAUUUUAAUAUUAAAUUUAUUAAGUGAAAUUUUAAAUUUAUAAAAAAUUUUUUAUAUUAAAUGUUUUAAGAAAUUUUAAUAUUAAACUAGGAUUAGAUACCCUAUUAUUUAAAAUGUAAAUUUAAAAAAUUUAAUUAGUAUUAGUUAUGUUCUUAAAAAUUAAAAAAUUUGGCGGUAUUUUAAUCUAUUUAGAGGAACCUGUUUUAUAAAUGAUAGUCCACGAUUUAAUUUACUUAUUUUAUUAGUUUACAUAUCGUUGUAAUUAAAUAUUUUUUUAGAAUUUAAAUAUUUAAGAAUUUUAAUUAAAAAAUAAAUCAGAUCAAGAUAUAAUUUAUAAAUAAGUAAAAAUGGGUUACAAUAAAUUUAUUUUAGGAUAAUAAUUAUUACAAUUAUUUGAAUUUGGAUUUAAAAGUAAUUUAAAUUAAUUAAUUUAAAUGAUUUUAGCUCUAAAAUAUGUACAUAUUGCCCGUCGCUUUCAUUUAAAAUGGAAUAAGUCGUAACAAAGUAGAUUUACUGGAAAGUGAAUCUAGAUCAAA